rnacentral:rRNA from 1 species
UACGGGGGGUGCGAGCGUUGUCCGGAAUCACUGGGCGUAAAGGGCGCGUAGGCGGCCGGCCAAGUCGGGGGUGAAAGCCUGUGGCUCAACCACAGAAUGGCCCUCGAUACUGGACGGCUCGAGACCGGAAGAGGUUGGUGGAAUUGCGAGUGUAGAGGUGAAAUUCGUAGAUAUUCGCAAGAACACCGGUGGCGAAGGCGGCCAACUGGUCCGGAUCUGACGCUGAGGCGCGAAAGCGUGGGGAGCAAACAGG